rnacentral:lncRNA from 1 species
UCAGCCGGUACAAGUGGUAGUCAGUGUUCCCCUGACAGUAUAAUUUUUAUGGUGUUUGUUUUAUCAAACAUAAAUGUGCAACUUGACUGCCACAAACUUCCAGAAAGAAAAAAAACACAAAGAUAUCAUCGCAGAACAUAAAAUAAGGUCUAUAUUCAGCUUCUCUGGAGAAGAGCAGAAAAAUCUACUGCUGUGAAGCAUGUCUUCUUAUGAAAAGAGUUCAGAAGGAAAAAUGUCUGAGCUUCUCUGGAGAAGAGCAGAAAAUCUGCUGCCGUGAA